UACAGAGGGCUCGAGCGUUGUUCGGAUUCAUUGGGCGUAAAGGGUGCGUAGGCGGCGAUGUAAGUCUGAUGUGAAAUCCCUGGGCUCAACCCGGGAACUGCAUUGGAUACUGCGUUGCUAGAGUACUGGAGAGGAGACUGGAAUUUACGGUGUAGCAGUGAAAUGCGUAGAGAUCGUAAGGAAGACCAGUGGCGAAGGCGAGUCUCUGGACAGUUACUGACGCUGAGGCACGAAGGCCAGGGGAGCAAACGGG
rnacentral:rRNA from 1 species